GUGCUUGCUUAGGUAGCACAUAAACUGAAAUUGGAGCAUUUAGAGGAGAUUAGCAUGGCUCCUGGCAAGGAUGACAUGCAAAUUCAUGAAGCAUUCUAUAUAUUU